GGGCACAUGGUGUAGUUGGUUAUCACAUCCGCUUAGCAUAAGUCACGAUCCAUUGCGUGCGGGGGGUGCUGGGUUCAAUUCCCAGUGUGUCCA